GCCUGGCUGGCUUAGUUGGUAGAGAGCAUGUGACUCUUGAUCUCAGAGUUAUGAGUUCAAGCCCCACAUUGGGCA
rnacentral:tRNA from 1 species